rnacentral:rRNA from 1 species
UACGUAGGGGGCAAGCGUUAUCCGGAUUUACUGGGUGUAAAGGGAGCGUAGACGGCUUUGCAAGCCAGAUGUGAAAGCCCGGGGCUCAACCCCGGGACUGCAUUUGGAACUGUGUGGCUAGAGUGUCGGAGAGGCAGGCGGAAUUCCUAGCGUAGCGGUGAAAUGCGUAGAUAUUAGGAGGAACACCAGUGGCGAAGGCGGCCUGCUGGACGAUGACUGACGUUGAGGCUCGAAAGCGUGGGGAGCAAACAGG